GGGACACACUUUCUGGGCACUGCUGGCCAGUCCCAAAAUGGAACAUAAGGAAGUGGUUCUUCUACUUCUUUUAUUUCUGAAAUCAGCACCUGAGCAAAGCCAUGUGGUCCAGGAUUGCUACCAUGGUGAUGGACAGAGUUAUCGAGGCACGUACUCCACCACUGUCACAGGAAGGACCUGCCAAGCUUGGUCAUCUAUGACACCACAUCAACAUAAUAGGACCACAGAAAACUACCCAAAUGC
rnacentral:lncRNA from 1 species